rnacentral:rRNA from 1 species
UUUUAUGGAGAGUUUGAUCCUGGCUCAGGAUGAACGCUGGCGGCGUGCCUAAUACAUGCAAGUCGAGCGAACGGACGAGAAGCUUGCUUCUCUGAUGUUAGCGGCGGACGGGUGAGUAACACGUGGAUAACCUACCUAUAAGACUGGGAUAACUUCGGGAAACCGGAGCUAAUACCGGAUAAUAUUUUGAACCGCAUGGUUCAAAAGUGAAAGACGGUCUUGCUGUCACUUAUAGAUGGAUCCGCGCUGCAUUAGCUAGUUGGUAAGGUAACGGCUUACCAAGGCAACGAUGCAUAGCCGACCUGAGAGGGUGAUCGGCCACACUGGAACUGAGACACGGUCCAGACUCCUACGGGAGGCAGCAGUAGGGAAUCUUCCGCAAUGGGCGAAAGCCUGACGGAGCAACGCCGCGUGAGUGAUGAAGGUCUUCGGAUCGUAAAACUCUGUUAUUAGGGAAGAACAUAUGUGUAAGUAACUGUGCACAUCUUGACGGUACCUAAUCAGAAAGCCACGGCUAACUACGUGCCAGCAGCCGCGGUAAUACGUAGGUGGCAAGCGUUAUCCGGAAUUAUUGGGCGUAAAGCGCGCGUAGGCGGUUUUUUAAGUCUGAUGUGAAAGCCCACGGCUCAACCGUGGAGGGUCAUUGGAAACUGGAAAACUUGAGUGCAGAAGAGGAAAGUGGAAUUCCAUGU